rnacentral:rRNA from 1 species
UACGAAGGGGGCUAGCGUUGCUCGGAAUUACUAGGCGUAAAGCGCACGUAGGCGGCUCUUUAAGUCGGGGGUGAAAUCCUGGAGCUCAACUCCAGAACUGCCUUCGAUACUGUAGAGCUUGAGUUCGGGAGAGGUGAGUGGAACUGCGAGUGUAGAGGUGAAAUUCGUAGAUAUUCGCAGGAACACCAGUGGCGAAGGCGGCUUACUGGUCCAUAACUGACGCUGAGGCACGAAAGCCAGGGGAGCAAACGGG